rnacentral:lncRNA from 1 species
AGAAGGCCACAUGCAAGAAGAGUUGACUGUUAUUUUCAUAAGUAACCGGCUGCCAGAAAACGUUAGGGGAGCAACUGUGAUUCAUGAAACGGGCAACAUUCCCAACAUUCUUAGCACUGAUUAUAAGAGGCAGCGGGAUUUCAGGUUCUUCAGACAUCUCCUCAGAAGCAAUUUCGUCUGCUAAGCCAGGCUCAUAGUUCCAUUUGAAAGGGGUAUAGACACGGGUUGUAUCAAAUGUAUGAUCAUCAUUAGCCAUAGUUUGUUGCACCUUCGACUUGUCUUUGGCCUCACCUGCAUAUAUGCAUAUAAACGACCCAGCACGAAUAGGAUCCCAUGAGCGCAAGCCCCAUCCUCUAUUCUCUGUCUUGAAAACUUCCAGCUUCACUUUUACUCCCAUUUGAGUCACCUUGUUUUUGCAAGCCGAGCACGGGCAGGAUGGGCUGCAUUCAUAUAUCAUAGGCUUGCGGCUAACUAGAACUCCAUUGCCCGAGUAUGGGAAAUCACCUCCAUUUUUCCUAAUGCAGUGACAGUCCAAGUUCCCUGGUUUGCAUGAGUUACUGCAACCGCAUCCAAAAGAAGGCUGUGGCAGCUUAAACGAAUCGGAGUAUUUUACCGUAGUGGAGUAUGUGAAAUAAGCAGGCCCACUCUCGGCAUCAACAUCAUUCACAAGUGAAACGGCUGUGCUUUCAACUCCAGAAGUGAGAUCGGUAAGAAUAAGUCCUUCCCUGGAAGGCAAACCAGUCUUCCACUUCUGGAUCGCAGUCCAUGUAGCAAAUGCAGGAGGUUGACCAGGAGCUCGCACUAGUUUAUACUUGAAGGUGUUGUGUCCAGAUUUUCCUUUCUCUACCCAUGACUCUUUGAUCUCGUAGAGUCCAUCAUAAAUAUAGAUCUUAGCACUCUGAGAAGCCUCUUUCAAGCCCCUUAUUACCCUAACCGCACUAUUCCUACGCAAGCUCUUCUCCAACGCAAGAUUACCCCUCUCGAGCUUUUGGUCAGAUGUUUGCUUAUCUUUAUCAGCAUUACCACCACCCUGACCAGUAUAAACCAAGACAUCGGGAUUACCUUCGUCAUUAUCAUAAUAUCCAGAUGACACAAUGCUAGUGGCGAUAGGCUCUUCUUCUGCUUCUCCCUUGACAAUCAGAUAGUCAAUGCCAGCCAUCGAUGGAGAAUGUAACCCCACCAAACACAUCUCAAACCUGAAGAAGAAGAUGUCCCCAAUCUCAACACCAGGAAUGAUACCAGGUCUUUUCUUGGUGUUUGUACGGACACCUCUGCUCAUACAAGUAGAUCCUGAUUUCAAAUCAGCGCGUUUGAUGAUUCCACUAACUGCUUCCUUUGCAUCCUCCAGUUGUGAAAACCUUCUUCUUAGCGCAUCAAAACGCAUAAGAAUACUCGUCACCAGCUUCCUAUUGCCAUUCUCUCUUUCAGCCACUGUAAUCCCACUCUCGAAAUUCACAUUCUCAGGCCGAACAAUUGGACGCUUCUUAGUGAUCUUUCUUUUCACAGUUGAACCCUCAGGCUCCAUGUCGCCAUUAGACGCAUCAGGAGAUCUGAAUGACCUCAGAGGAGUAACCAACGAAGGUUCAGAUACGAUUUGCGUUUGAUGUUGCGGUGGAUUCUGUGGCUGGUGUUGCGGUGGGUUCUGAGGCUGAUGUUGCGGUGUAUACUGAGGCUGAUAUUGCGGUGUAUAUUGAGGCUGAUAUUGCGGUGGAUUCUGGGCUUGAUUGAGAUCAGGUGUGUGUUGAUUCGCUUGAGAAGACGAGCUAAAUGGAUAGAAUGGUGAGAAUCCAGGAGGAAAAGGUCCAAAAGGAGGUGCGCACACAAAAGGUGGAGCUUGAUUUCCGCUGGGGAAAACAGGUCUUAGAGAACGCAAUGGCUUGAUAUCAAACACUCUCGUCUUAUCGGUGUAGCUUCCAGAAUUCCCUUCCAUUGGUUGAAAUUUACCAGAAUCAGAUUUUCACUUGAAAUGGAAAAUGAAAUCCCCUAAAAGCUAUCGAAGAUCUGGGAAAGCAACUUCUUCUUCACCUUUUGCCACAAAACAGAGCUUCUUAGUAUAAGCCUAUAUCAAAAGAUCAGAGAUUCACAAAGCCGAAUUAAACGCAUGCACAGAGAAACCAUCAUCGCAUAUUCAGAGAUUCAAUAACAGCAACGGGUGUUUCACAAAACAAAACCCAACAAGCUCGAAACUUGAAAAUGAAACCUGAAAUUGGCACUUGGGAAUCGCGCACUCGUCAAGCUCGGUCGUCAGAUUAGGGUUUCCGAAAAGAGAGAGACAGAGAAAGAAGAAUGAGAGGGAAACAAAUAGAGAAAUAAUUUCCAGCUUGGGAAAAUUUUGUUUUUUAACAUUUUUAGCGUUUAUUAUUAACGUCUGAGAUCUCUUACCAUCUGUGACUUUCACUGACAUCUGUAACUGUUAGAGAAGAAGCUUAGAUUAGCCGUUGGAUCAAAAUCAUUUGUUUUUUAACCGUACAAAGAUCUAAUAUGACUGGUUACCUGCGUAAGAGGUUGUCGUUUCCGUUUCAUUCUCGUUCUAUGAAGUGCAUUCGUCACUUCGUGAUAUAAUGACUUUUAGGAACUUUUGUCGGUUACCGGUUUUCACACGUGUGUAAGAGUUUGUCGUUUCCCUUUGCUCAAUCUUUUUCCUCUCUCAAAAUUUGGUCCAAUCUGGAAAAACCGAUCCGAUUUAAUUCAACCAAAUCAGAAUAGUCGGUCCGAUACCAAAUCAUAUUUGAUAUCGUCUAAAUUGGUUUUUUUUAUAUAUUCAAAAAAUAAAUAAAAAAUCAACCAAAACAAACCGGAAAAAAAAAAUCCAAAAUUAAAAUUGUAAAAGACUUAUAUGGGUAGCGCAUGAAUUGGUGUCUGACUGUCUGGUGAGCAAUGCACAACAAGCUGUUCAAGAAGUGAGUUGAUUUUGACUAUGUAUUUAAAAAUUUCAUUGCGAUUUGUUUGUCUAUAAUAAAAGAGUGAUUUACACUAAAAGGCACUUUUACAACUUCUUCUUACAAAAAAAAACACUUUCAGCUAUUAGGAUACUUUUUCUGUACUUUAAACACUGUUUACACCAAAAUAAUCCGAAAUUGCCCAUGUGUUAACGAGAACGGUGGAUGCAACUCGUGGAUACCGAAUUAAACCCCAAAUUUUAAAAACAUUAAUUAUUUUCCCCUUCAGUUUUGUGCUGUAUUUUUCUGUAGUGUAAAAUAUAUAAAACAAUUUUUUUUGUUAGAUUGAAUUCUAAUUUUAUUUUGUCAUUGUUUUAAGACCCAUUAUGUUAUACUUUCUUUAUCAAACAAAAUUUUUUUCAAAUAACCUUUAUAAAAAAAAAUUAAAACAACAGAAAUCUACUUAGAUAUCCAUUCACAAAAUACAAUGUGGAUGAUGCAUGAUGGACAUAUAACAUGGAUACGAUUGCGUGGAUAUAUUUUCAAUCGUAUAUUUGACGUGUAUAUACAUUUUAUAUUGUCCACAUUAUGGACAUGAUCGUGUGGAUAUGUUUUUUAUUGAUAGAUUCGAUAUGGAUAUACAUAUUAUAUUAUCAAUAACCUAUCCACAUGAUCAUGUUCAAAUUAUAGACAAUAUAAAAUGUAUAUCCACGUCGAAUAAAUGAAUGAAAACCUAUCUACAUAAUUGUGUCCAAGUUAUAUGUCCAUCACGCAUUAUCCACAUCGUAUUUGUGAAUGGAUAUCUAAGUAGAUUUCUGAUUUUUUUAAAAAUUUUAUAAAGGUUAUUUGAAAAGUUUCUUGUUUGAUAAAUAAAGUAUAGCAUAAUGGAUUUUAAAACAAUGACAAAAUAAAAUUAGAGUUUAUUUUAACAAAAAAAAAUAUUUUAAAUAUUUCAUAAUACAGAAAAAUACAAAACAAAACAAAAGGGGGAAAAUAAUUACUAUUUUUAAAAUCUGGAUUUAAUUCGGUAUCCACAAGUUCAUAUCCACCAUUAUCGUGAACACAAGGACAAUUUCGGAAUGAAAAAUAGAAAAAUCACCUAAUAGCUAGAAGUGCCAGUGUAAUAUGAGUUUGGGCCUUUUACUGUAAUUAUUUCAUAAUAAAACCGAUAAGCUGUUAAACUGACUUGUAACGUUAAUCAUAGUCAUCUAAUCUUUUUAACCAAACAGAGGCUAAGUAUUUCUAGAGAUUCGCCCUAAAAAAAAUCUGAAAGCAAAUAAGAUUACAUAACGAGUUUCUAGAGAUACGUUUUUCAAAUUAUCAUCAACCAAAUGAACCACGGCAAUACUCUGAUCCGCAGAAGCACCUCUUUCUGCCAUAUAAAGGAUUGCCAUUUUCAGUUCCGCUUGGUCGAGAAACUCCAUAGUCGUAUGUUAACUCAGUCAUUGGAGGGAUGUGAGAAAUGGCAAAGAAGGCCACAUGCAAGAAGAGUUGACUGUUAUUUUCAUAAGAAACCGGCUGCCAGAAAACGUUAGGGGAGCAACUGUGAUUCAUGAAACGGGCAACGUUUCCAACAUUCUUAGCACUGAUUAUCAGAGGAAGCGGGAUUUCAGGUUCUUCAGACAUCUCCUCAGAAGCAACUUCGUCUGCUAAGCCAGGCUCAUAGUUCCAUUUAAAAGGGGUGUAGAUACGGGUUGUAUCAAAAGUAUAAUCAUCAUUAGCCAUAGUGUGCUGCACCUUCGACUUGUCUUUGGCCUC